rnacentral:rRNA from 1 species
UACGGAGGGUGCAAGCGUUAUCCGGAUUCACUGGGACGUAAAGGGUGCGCAGGUGGGCUGGUAAGUUCGAUGUGAAAGCCCCGGGCUUAACCCGGGAAAGGCAUUGGAUACUACUGGUCUGGAGGAUUGGAGGGGGGACUGGAAUUCUUGGUGUAGCAGUGAAAUGCGUAGAUAUCAAGAGGAACACCAGUGGCGAAGGCGAGUCCCUGGACAAUACCUGACACUGAGGCACGAAAGCCAAGGGAGCAAACAGG